GAUGCUGCCUACUUAGGGCUGCGCACGCUGAGCUCUGGGCGCAGCUCUGCAAAGCGUCGGGGCCUGAAUGACGGUGUCGGCUCCAGGCCCAGCUCCAGCAGCAAACACAGGCAAGGGCACAGGCAACCACCGCGUGCUGGACCACGCACAGCACCAUCCACCCUGGCCAGUGCAUCCCGCCCUGCGCGCGGCCCACCGACCCGCUCCGUCGGCAACGAGCUGUCACGCGAGGCUGUUCGACCCGCACCUGCGCGCCAGCGGAGCCGGCUGCCCGACCGCGAGGAAGCAGYGAGGGGAGGCAGAAACCACGGACGGGAAAGCACGAGACUGAGCACCACUAUCACCUCGUGCGCUCGAGUACACACCACAGGUCACCKGCAGGCAGCAGAGACAGCCCGAAAACUGCAUUUGCUCCUUCAGCAGCGAGAAGGCCUUGGACUGCUGAGCUUCCGAAGACGCUCCCGUGCUGCCGAGCAGCUGAAGCACCCGGUGCAGCAAGAAAGGCUUCAGCUUGUACCGCGCCACCUUGAGAGGACUGAUACGGAUUUUAGGCGGAUUGACUUCUCGAUCACAGUUAUAAAAUCGGAAGAGAUUCCAGGCCAAGCCAGGUCCAAAGGUAUCCAUUAAAACGUAUCUGGAAAGUUUAAGGAGCAUGUCACAGGACAGCUGCUUUCCCUGCGAGUUCUGGCUCAGAUUUGGACUUAGCAGACUUCUCCGUUCCUUGCGCCGUACGAGGGAGUCGCCUCUGAGCAGCCCGGAGGGUUGGUAAGAGCCCGCGGUCCCUGGAAGACUUUUCGUACUGGGGAACAGUCCCUCAUAAUCCAUAGCCCACAAAGAGCUGUUGGGAUUCAGGCUAUUUUCUGAAAUAAUCAUAAAUACAGUAAAACCUAUGAAACAUAAACAGUGAAGAACAGUUUUCCUCGUGCAUUUCUUAAUAGAUAUAUAUUAUAGAAACACAUUUAUGAAUGUUCUACUCUAUCCCUGAAUGCACUGUAGUUUACUACACUGCUUUGACAAGCUUACUGUACCUUUUGAUAGGCCAAAUCAAUACAUUAUAAGGACUAAUAAUGUAUUUAGAUCUUUGGAUUAUUUCAUUAAUUCUUUUCAAGUACUAAAAUAUAAUACGAUUAUUUGUUAUUUUUUAUUUAAACUAAUGUUUUCUGUAGUGGAUGCUCAGGAAAAAUACCUUUCUUAUAUGUAUGUACAUAGAUUCCUCCGAAAUAUCAAUGACCAAAAGAGUAUGUUCUAUUCCAUAUAAUUUUCUGGAAAAGACUAAUAGAAGUCAURAUUCCCAUUACAGAUUACAGUUGCACCUCAUAUAUUGAGUGGGUUGGGAUAAAGCCUUUUUCAUACAUGGCUGAGGAAGGAAGAUGUUCACACUCCCACCGGCCCACCUGCAUUUUGGGUCCAGACCACYAGGGUCUAAUGCAGCUUCUACGAUUCCGAUAGAUAUAGGGAAGGGUUUGAAAURGUUAAUGUUUUAACAUAGUGCCAUACUGCUAGAGGUCAUGUCCUCAGAGCCCUGGAAUGUGCCUGCAGCAUUCCCUUGCAUUUCCGAAGGGGAGGACGAGAUUUUAAAAAAUGUUCUUCUGUUUCCUAGAGGUGGAUCUCUGUCCCUCUGCACGUU
ensembl:lncRNA